AUUGAACGCUGGCGGCAGGCCUAACACAUGCAAGUCGAGCGAGCGGCGGACGGGUGAGUAAUGUAUGGGGACCUGCCCGAUAGAGGGGGAUAACUACUGGAAACGGUGGCUAAUACCGCAUACUAUCGGAUGCACCCUUAUGGGAUUAGCUAGUAGGUGGGGUAAAGGCUCACCUAGGCGACGUUCUCUAGCUGGUCUGAGAGGAUGAUCAGCCACACUGAGACUGAGACACGUCCCAGACUCCUACGGGAGGCAGCAGUAGGGAAUAUGGCACAAUGGGCGAAAGCCUGAUGAAGCCAUGCCGCGUGUAUGAAGAAGGCCUUAGGGUUGUAAAGUACUUUCAGCGGGGAGGCGUUACCCGCAGAAGAAACAACGGCUAACUCCGGGCCAGCAGCCGCGGUAAUUC
rnacentral:rRNA from 1 species